AGAGGGUUGCGCUCCCCGAGCGGCGCCAGAGGGGCCUGGAGAGACUUGGGCAUGUGAUAAAAAGCAAGCGGAGGGGGAGGAGGAGAAGGGAGAGGCAGAGAUGCGCCGGGACUUCUUCGGCGAGGGGAGCCGGCGGGAGAAACGUGGCCGGGAGAGAGCUCACGCCCCAGCAGCGGCUUGUGGAGCGCGAGGGGAAGAGCCGCCCGCCCGCCUCCCUCCUUAGGAAUCCCAAGUGGCGAAGGAGCGGCAUCCGCAGCGCGAGGCUCCCCCUGACUGCUUGGAGCGGACGGAGCGAGGGGAGGGGGAAGCCCCCAGCUGCAAGGAGCCAUCAUCGCUCCAUCCUGCGGCACCGCGCGAGAGAGGAGAGGAGAGGGAGAGAGCGCGCGCGCGCGCGAGACAGAGGAGAGCCCCAUGUGCGCAGAUGGCAGUGUGGAAGCCAAGUACAUACUGGCAGAAGUUAUUUUCUCUCUCUCUCUCUGUGUCUCCCUGAGAAAAUGAAGAGAGUGAACACAUGACUAGGCUUGGGAACUUGAGAAACCACAGG